rnacentral:lncRNA from 1 species
CCUCUUCUAAUCAGCUCCCUCCCCUCCUUGCUGAAGUCACCACCAGAAAAUGACACAGUCUUCCAGAUAGGGAAGAAGAUAUUCUUGGACUGCCUUACUACUGUGCCUCAUCACCUGGGGCCUGAGAGAGCUAGCGGUGUCUGCAAAUUUUCCAACUCUCUAAAGAAGAUGAUGUCCACCAGUUUGCUAAGAGAAAGCCCCUGA